rnacentral:rRNA from 1 species
UACAGAGGUCUCAAGCGUUGUUCGGAUUCAUUGGGCGUAAAGGGUGCGUAGGCGGCGCGGUAAGUCGGGUGUGAAAUCUCGGAGCUUAACUCCGAAACUGCAUUCGAUACUGCCGUGCUUGAGGACUGGAGAGGAGACUGGAAUUUACGGUGUAGCGGUGAAAUGCGUAGAUAUCGUAAGGAACACCAGUGGCGAAGGCGACUCACUGGCCCGAUACUGACGCUGAGGCGCGAAAGCGUGGGGAGCAAACAGG